UACGGAGGGUGCAAACGUUGCUCGGAAUUAUUGGGCGUAAAGCGCACGUAGGCGGCCCAGCAAGUCGGGUGUGAAAGCCCUCGGCUUAACCGAGGAAGUGCAUUCGAAACUACUGAGCUUGAAUACUGGAGAGGAUCGCGGAAUUCCCGGUGUAGAGGUGAAAUUCGUAGAUAUCGGGAGGAACACCAGUGGCGAAGGCGGCGAUCUGGACAGAUAUUGACGCUGAGGUGCGAAAGCGUGGGGAGCAAACAGG
rnacentral:rRNA from 1 species